AUUGAACGCUGGCGGCAGGCCUAACACAUGCAAGUCGAGCGGAUGAAGGGAGCUUGCUCCUGGAUUCAGCGGCGGACGGGUGAGUAAUGCCUAGGAAUCUGCCUGGUAGUGGGGGAUAACGUCCGGAAACGGGCGCUAAUACCGCAUACGUCCUGAGGGAGAAAGUGGGGGAUCUUCGGACCUCACGCUAUCAGAUGAGCCUAGGUCGGAUUGGCUAGUUGGUGGGGUAAAGGCCUACCAAGGCGACGAUCCGUAACUGGUCUGAGAUGAUGAUCAGUCACACUGGAACUGAGACACGGUCCAGACUCCUACGGGAGGCAGCAGUGGGGAAUAUUGGACAAUGGGCGAAAGCCUGAUCCAGCCAUGCCGCGUGUGUGAAGAAGGUCUUCGGAUUGUAAAGCACUUUAAGUUGGGAGGAAGGGCAGUAAGUUAAUACCUUGCUGUUUUGACGUUACCAACAGAAUAAGCACCGGCUAACUUCGUG
rnacentral:rRNA from 1 species